GGCAAAAGAAAAAGAAAAUGUAUUUAUGAGCUGUAGUGAAUUGGUACAAAAGUUGGAUCCAGAUGGAUUGAAGUCAGCUCCUACUUAUUUUUCUGCAGUGUGAGGAUGACAGUAUCCUGAGGGAGAGUCGUGAGAAUUUGACACUAUGUUGGGGACUAUCUCAAUGUUCAGCGCAUGGUAAGCACUCAAUAAAUUAGAGCUACUAGCCUUUGUAACUAUUAGUGUCCUUGUGUUUGUAGUUCCAUUUGGUCAGAGGAACUUUCAGUUAAUAUUGAUGCCAUGAGUCCAGCCUUUGUUAGCCUUCAUACGCUGUCCUAUCUUUGCUCUGUGUUGGAAGCUCGGAUUUAUGACUGUGACAAACCAGGAAAUUAAUUUCAGAUCCAAUUUUGCAAUCUCCAGUAUUCCUUUCUACAGGUAUCUAAAUGUUGAUUUUCUACAUUGAGGUUCAUACACCACAUAUGAGGAAAUGAUCUGGUAUCUAUCUCCAAAACUGUCGCUAGAUCUCAGUGCUCACAGCUAAUAUUAAGAGUCCUCACAGACUCAUUUCUCCAAGUUUCUGAAUUCCUUGAACUUCAUCUAAGGUGGAUGCACACAUAAGCCUUUCUCAUUCUCCUUUCAAAAUGAAAUUUCCUUUCAGCCUUCUUCCCUGCCCAAAGCAGGAAACAACUCUCCUGCUCCCCAGCAGCUCUCUCUAUGUUUUCACAAUAUUAGGAGGCACUGUCUGCUAUUUGGAAUCAUUUUGGCUUAUUAUAAGGGCUCACACUGUACUUCAUUAGCAGGGCUGCUGUGAAAUUAUGAAACAUUUUGGUGAAAAUUACAAGCUAUUUAGACUCAUUUCUUGCUGAAAAUAUGCAAAGCCCUUCGGGGAAAAUGCAGACAGAUGGUGUUUGAGACAUUUAUUGUUUUUCCUAUGUAUUUGUAAACAAAUACUAUAAAUUAAGCAUUUCAGAAUGAUCUUUAGAAAAUCUAGUUGCAUAUUAAUAUAUCAAUUGAUAUCAAAUUAAAGAAAUUGUGAUACCCGUUUCCAUCUUACCAGUGCAUUUUUUCCUGUCUGUACUCUGUUUUGAAAAGGUUUCAGAAUUGAUCCAAAAUUGAUUGUUGAAAAGCUCCAGAAAAAGCAAAAGCAGGAGUCUCUGUUCUUUUUUUCUCCAGGUGGAAGAGCUGUGAUGUUUGGAAGCUUACAUGUGCUACUCUGAAGACUACUGGAGCAAGUGGUAGCACAUGAGUAACUGUGUUUAAAGGAAAGUGUCCUUAGUUUCUAGCUAUUUUAGUGCUAAGGCAAAAAAUUAUUACUAGUGGUAAUAAGCAAAGUUCAAACAUGGUUCUCAUGCAAAUCAAGGAGGUAGGUAUUUUUGAAAGUAUAAAUCAUCCGUAUCUCUCCAUUAGUUGAUUUAAAUUUUUUCUUUUAUUUUGCUUAAUGUUCCUUCCCCUUGUUCCAAUAAUAAUUUUACUCCAG
rnacentral:lncRNA from 1 species